rnacentral:rRNA from 1 species
UACAGAGGGUGCGAGCGUUAAUCGGAUUUACUGGGCGUAAAGGGCGCGUAGGCGGUUAUGUGAGUGUGAUGUGAAAGCCCCGGGCUUAACCUGGGAAGUGCAUCGCAAACGACAUAACUGGAGUAGGUGAGAGGGUGGCGGAAUUUCCGGUGUAGCGGUGAAAUGCGUAGAGAUCAGGAGGAACACCCGUGGCGAAGGCGGCUCCCUGGUCCGUCCCUGACGCUGAGACGCGAAAGCGCGGGGAGCGAACGGG